GAUAAAUCUCCCUCAUUGUUUGUAAUCUUGGCUCUGAAUUUACUGAUGAAGUUUAGAAUAAAUAUAAGUAUUUAAUGCUAAAUAAAUGCUUGGCGGCAACCUACAAGAUCAAAUGAAUGUAUUGAAAGGAUACCAGAAACUAAUAAGUGAGACAAAAAUGUAUGAGUCACACUAAGACAAGCACACCUUUAACCAUUUGACUCCUGAGGGUAAUGUUCUUUAAGGUUAAAUAGCUUUUUUCCCCUCCCAUUUUCUUUGUCGGGACUGGUUUCCAAGUCUCACUUUGUGAAAGAUAGAAUUGCUUUGCGGUCACUAAUUGAAAGCGUGGUACCCAGCUGUUUCAUGAAAAUAUCACUUAUCCCUACUUAUGAGACAUGCAAGACGUGCCUGAGGGAAAUAUGUCUGCUCCAAUGAAUAUAUAUCCGAUUCUCCCUGCUGCAUGGCGCGGUGGAUCAGCAUGCACUGCUGAUGCAAGGCAAUGCUCCAUGUAUUGUCUCUCGGGGCACUGGAGUUACCCAAGCGGCUGUAUGCUGCCCUUACCACUUUGAAAAAAGUUGGACUCACUUCUAGGACUUGCUCCAAUCUUGAGAACUAUAGCCCCCAAGCCUCAUCCUUUCUGCUUGGAGCAGCUGGAGAUUUUCAGGAAGCAGAAAACAACAUAACAGAAGAUAAUAGGAGUUGUGUAAAUGGCACAGUACCCCAAGCUAUACUAGAUAAUAUCCCUGAUAGCCAUUAUAAUAACCCAGUAACCAAAAUCCCUAGGUCUGCUUUCAAAGACCAAAAUAUUGAGCACUAUAUAUUUCAUUAAGGCAGUAUAUCUGAUUGAUAAACUAUGGAGUAGAUACUAUGGGGAUCAGAUUGCUCUUUUCAUUUUUAAAAAGGCCUCUGAAAAAUUAAAUAUGCAAUCUUAUUGUUUGCUAUGGGCUUUUCCUCUGCACAGGCUUUGAGAAAUCUCCCCCUAUGCUCCCCUACUAGGGCUUUAUUACUAUUAAACCAUUCCAGAGAUUUACACAGCUUUCAGAUACUGCUAUUGACUAUUGUUAUUCUGUCAGCUGCAUGUAGUGACAUUGGUAAUAACAUGAUCUGUAUCUUGGCAGGACUAAGGCCAUUCAUUCUGGCUGCUGAAUAC